UCUGGCUGCCAGCGCCAGCAUGUCCUUUUCACAUAGGAUAGGCCUAACGUUACCGUUAUCCGUACUUUCUUUGAACGGCAUCUGGCAUCAUUUGCAUGUCCUAGAAUAAUCCCUAGCUACACCUGCCCUUUUCAGGCUCAUAUUGCUGCCCAGUUGUAAGGCACCUGGACCUACAAGAGAUGGUGUGCAGUCCUCGACAGAAAAUGACUACAAAAGGUUUUCCAUGGAUCUGGUGUUGGGUUCAGUGAGUCAGCCUCUGGAGAAAUACCUAAAGGAGACCCAGUUGGAGUAUCAGAGAUCAUCACAGCAGUGGUCCUUCUUGACCCUGACAAGGUGAGUCAUAUCACAAAUGUAAAAAUGUCUUUCAACAGUCCUCAAUUGUAUUACCUUAUAUGUAGUUCCUAAACCCUUGGCCAUCUACAACUUUUCAGUGAUGGAGUUCUGGACUCUCUAAGCUGAACCGCAGUUUGUUAGGCU